rnacentral:rRNA from 1 species
AAAACAUCUUCUGCUCAAUGAGUUUUAAAUAGCUGCAGCUAACGCUGUACUAAGGUAGCACAAUCAUGUGCCUUAUAAUUAAAGGAUCGUAUAAAAGAAAUAACGAAUUUUAAACUCUAUCAAAAAUUAAAAUUAAAAUUUUAAUAAAAGUAAAAAUACCUUUACCUACUAAAAAGACGACAAGACCCCGAGAACUAAACUAAAGUUUUACUGGGGUGGUAAAAUAAAAAAAUCUUACUUCUACAACAAAAAUAAAUAAGUUACCUCAGGGAUAACAGCAUAAUUUAUUUUAAAAGUUCUUAUUUGAAAAUAAGAUUAUGACCUCGAUGUUGAAUUAAAAAAUCUAUAAUUAUGCAAUAAUAAUACAAGACAGUCUGUUCGACUAUUAAAAUUUUACA